rnacentral:rRNA from 1 species
CGUACUCAGAGUGAAUCAUCGAAUCUUUGAACGCAUUUUGCGCUUUUCGGGUCCAUCGAGAAGCAUACCUGUUUGUAGUAUCAGAAAGUACUCUAACGACUGUGGUUGUUGGGAAUUGGGGAUUAUCUGAGGAUAUUCUCUGAAAGGCAGGAAGCGACGUUGGGCAUAUGUUUCGCGUCAAAGUGCGGUAAGAAAACGGAUGUUUUUCUCCCACUGAGCAGCGACGUAUCCUGACGCAAGUUGCUUUUAUAAUACUUUUGAACUCUUGAUCUCAAAUCAGGUAGGAUUACCCGCUGAACUUAAGCAUAUCAAUAAGCGGAGG